CAUGAUGUCAGGUACAAGCACAGAGGCCAAUAACCCUCAGGACUGCUGUUUCCCUGCUCAGAACCAGGCUGUCACAGCGCUGACGAAGAGCUGCUGGCCCACAGAUCCCAUGGACACAUGCACGGGGUCUUGGAAAGACCUUCCCACAACACCUCACGUGCAAUGUGACACAGCUUGGGGCGGGCUGCUGUGGCCUCUUCCCUACAUACCUGGAAUGCUUGGCUCUCCAUUCACGCCAACCGACAACCAGGAGAAACAUGAAGUAUAAACAAAGAAGAAAAUAAAAGCCAGCUAAUAGGAAGUCAGGAAUAGAUCUUUUGCAAGUGGGAAGAAGACUAACAGACAGAAGGAGGGAAGAAGAGGAUGUGAGAAAGAAUGAAGAUGCGUUAUGGCCAUGUACCAAUUGCCCAAUCUAAUCUUUAUGUCCUGCAAACAUGUAUCAAUAAAAACAAAGAAAAAAAGUAAAGAGUGCUUCCUGGGUUCAAACUCCAGUAUUCCCAAAAGCAAAAACAAAACACUGGUGCUCACAGAGAAAGCACAGAAGGUAAGCCUAGGCCAGGCUGGCGGGGAUAUAGCCUUAGUUCGCAGGCUCUGCCACCCGCCCCAGGCAGUCCCUGACCCACGGGAGCUUUGAGCAAGGGCUGGAAAUGGGGGCCGAUUUCUGGCUGGUGACAAGGUCAGCAAAAUCCCCAGGAGUUGCAAU